AGAACGAACGCUGGCGGCAUGCCUAAUACAUGCAAGUCGAACGAACACUUCGGUGUUAGUGGCGCACGGGUGCGUAACGCGUGGGAAUCUGCCCUUGGGUUCGGAAUAACAGUUGGAAACGACUGCUAAUACCGGAUGAUAUCGAAAGAUCAAAGAUUUAUCGCCCAGGGAUGAGCCCGCGUAGGAUUAGCUAGUUGGUGAGGUAAAGGCUCACCAAGGCGACGAUCCUUAGCUGGUCUGAGAGGAUGAUCAGCCACACUGGGACUGAGACGCGGCCCAGACCUCCGUACGGGAGGCAGCGAGGU
rnacentral:rRNA from 1 species